GUGCAGGCCCAGCGCAGGCCGUUCCGCUGCCCCACGGGCGCCCAUGUUGGUCCACCCGGGCAGCGCCCCACCCGCCAUUCCCCCGGAUCAAGCCAGCCGCACUUUCCCAAAGCGCCCAUGGGGCGCAGACCCCAGGCUUCUUGCCAUCCGUGAGCCGGGGGCUGCCUUGAUCCGCGAUCAGCUGGAGGAAAGGGGCGCGAGGGCUGGUGACCCCGCACCCCAGAGAAGAGCUUCCCGUGGUCAAGCGUCCUGCGGCUCCGGAGCUGCGGGAGAGCCCGAGAUCCCUCCAGCCUCCACCACACAGGUGGGGAAACUGAGGCCCAGAGUGGAGGAGCAACUUGGCCAAGGUCACUCCGCGUUCGGCGACUGGAGCCCAGAUGUGCCACCGCCUCCAGCGCGGUGCCACCAACUGCGCAGGUUGGAGACAGCUGGUGACAAGAAACUUGAGCUUCAGGCUGAUGCCCACCUUGGCAGGGACCACAUCUGCUUGUCCAGUCUGCAGCCCCUCCCCUUCCAGCCUGCCAGAUGGUAUUCAGACCUUAGAGAAAUAGUACCAGUACCUACUGACCCCAAGUGAAGAUCUCUGCAAAAGAUGCCAUGUUCAUACUUAAAAAAACACCAGGGAACACUCCAAGAGGCAGGUUUCCAUGGGCCCUGGUGGUGGAGGUGAUUCAGCGUGGGUCUCCCUGCCCCGCCCUGCUCGGCAGACUCCAGUGCCCGAGGGGAAAAGGAUCCUCCUGCCUGCCUUCCUCCAUGCCACACCUGCAAUGCUCCCCACACGCUGUCACUGGAUCCCACUGCAGCCCGGGUGACACGACUUGUCCUUUGUCAUCUCUAACAGAUGGGAAACCUAGCUGCCAAUCUGGGCAUGCUUGAGGGACUGCGACAGAUUGUCAUGUUUCCUGGGAACAUAUAUGAAGGAACCCCUGCUGAAGGACCUCUGGGGAGAAGGAAUGCAAGCUUACCUGGUUUCUGGGCCACCCUG